AUUGAACGCUGGCGGCAGGCCUAACACAUGCAAGUCGAGCGAGCGGCGGACGGGUGAGUAAUGUAUGGGGACUGCCCGAUAGAGGGGGAUAACUACUGGAAACGGUGGCUAAUACCGCAUACUAUCGGAUAACCCAUAUGGGAUUAGCUAGUAGGUGGGGUAAAGGCUCACCUAGGCGACGAUCUCUAGCUGGUCUGAGAGGAUGUUCAGCCACACUGGGACGGGGAAACGGCCCAGACUCCUGCGGGGGCAGCAGUGGGGAAUAGUGCACAAUGGGCGCAAUCCUGAUGCAGCCAGGCCGGGUGUAUGAGGAAGGCCUUAGGGUGGGAAAGUACUUUCGGCGAGGAGGCGUUACCCGCAGAAGAAGCACCGGCUAACUCCGUGCCAGCAGCCGCGGUAAUAC
rnacentral:rRNA from 1 species